rnacentral:lncRNA from 10 species
AUGCAAAUACCGUAUACGUGAUAAACGUCCCUACAACAUGAUCUUUGGAAUGAACUAAGACAAAGGAAACUCUGAGGAAGGACCAUGGCCUGAGAGGUGGAAUUCAUCCUUCCGAGGACUGAGAUGAGGACGGAAAAUGAACCAUCGGGGGGAUUGACGGUGAAGAUGCUAAUACCUGCCCAGCAUCGACCCUAGUGCGGGUCCCAAGACCAUCCCCCUGUGCAGGCUCCACCACCGCUGUGCUAACUGGACCGCGGCAG